GACGAACGCUGGCGGCGUGCCUAAUACAUGCAAGUUGAGCGAUGAAGAUUGGUGCUUGCACCAAUUUGAAGAGCAGCGAACGGGUGAGUAACGCGUGGGGAAUCUGCCUUUGAGCGGGGGACAACAUUUGGAAACGAAUGCUAAUACCGCAUAACAACUUUAAACAUAAGUUUUAAGUUUGAAAGAUGCAAUUGCAUCACUCAAAGAUGAUCCCGCGUUGUAUUAGCUAGUUGGUGAGGUAAAGGCCUACCAAGGCGAUGGUACAUAGCCGACCUGAGAGGGUGAUCGGCCACAAUGGGACUGAGACACGGCCCAAACUCCUACGGGAGGCAGCAGUAGGGAAUCUUCGGCAAUGGACGAAAGUCUGACCGAGCAACGCCGCGUGAGUGAAGAAGGUUUUCGGAUCGUAAAACUCUGUUGGUAGAGAAGAACGUUGGUGAGAGUGGAAAGCUCAUCAAGUGACGGUAACUACCCAGAAAGGGACGGCUAACUACGUG
rnacentral:rRNA from 1 species